rnacentral:rRNA from 1 species
CAAGUCGAGCGGCAGCGCGGGGGCAACCCUGGCGGCGAGCGGCGAACGGGUGAGUAAUACAUCGGAACGUGUCCAGUAGUGGGGGAUAACCAGUCGAAAGAUUGGCUAAUACCGCAUACGAUCUACGGAUGAAAGCGGGGGACCGCAAGGCCUCGCGCUAUUGGAGCGGCCGAUGUCGGAUUAGCUAGUUGGCGGGGUAAAAGCCCACCAAGGCGACGAUCCGUAGCUGGUCUGAGAGGACGAUCAGCCACACUGGAACUGAGACACGGUCCAGACUCCUACGGGAGGCAGCAGUGGGGAAUUUUGGACAAUGGGGGCAACCCUGAUCCAGCCAUGCCGCGUGAGUGAAGAAGGCCUUCGGGUUGUAAAGCUCUUUCGGCGGGGACGAAAUGGUUCGUGCUAACACCGCGGACUGAUGACGGUACUCGCAGAAGAAGCACCGGCUAACUACGUACCAGCAGCCGCGGUAAUACGUAGGGUGCAGGCGUUAAUCGGAAUUACUGGGCGUAAAGCGUGCGCAGGCGGCCUCUUAAGUCAGAUGUGAAAUCCCCGGGCUUAACCUGGGAACUGCGUUUGAAACUGGGAGGCUUGAGUGUGGAAGAGGGGGGUGGAAUUCCAGGUGUAGCAGUGAAAUGCGUAGAGAUCUGGAGGAACACCGAUGGCGAAGGCAGCCCCCUGGGCUAACACUGACGCUCAUGCACGAAAGCGUGGGGAGCAAACAGGAUUAGAUACCCUGGUAGUCCACGCCCUAAACGAUGUCAACUGGUUGUCGGGGAAGUUAUUCCUUGGUAACGAAGCUAACGCGUGAAGUUGACCGCCUGGGGAGUACGGCCGCAAGGUUAAAACUCAAAGGAAUUGACGGGGACCCGCACAAGCGGUGGAUUAUGUGGAUU